UUGUGCACAGGCUGUCUAUAAACUUUUCUGCACUUGGAUGGAUGUGUUCCUUUGGGUUAAUGUAAUAUAACGCCAACUAGACGAAGAAGCGUUUAAGGCAGAACAGAAAAUGCAACAGCUGCUCGGCGAGACGGGGCAGCAUGAGUAGGAGAAGCAAGACCAAAGAGAGCGAGCGCUUGCUUGUGAUAAGCAUCGCGAGAACGAGAGAGAGACAGGCGAGACUAGCGAGCGGUACUCUCAGUGGUGUUAUCAUGGCGUUGUUGCAUAUACUUCUGUUUUUGUUUUUGUUUGUGAUUUUGUCUGGCGUAGUAAAAAAUAGCAAUUUGCGCACUAUUUUUAAACGUAUUGCAAA